AUUGAACGCUGGCGGAAUGCUUUACACAUGCAAGUCGAGCGGCAGCGCGGGGGCAACCCUGGCGGCGAGCGGCGAACGGGUGAGUAACAUAUCGGAACGUACCCAGUCGUGGGGGAUAACUAUCCGAAAGGAUAGCUAAUACCGCAUACGUCCUGAGGGAGAAAGCGGGGGAUCGCAGGACCUCGCGCGAUUGGAGCGGCCGAUAUCGGAUUAGCUAGUUGGUGGGGUAAAGGCUCACCAAGGCGACGAUCCGUAGCGGGUCUGAGAGGACGACCCGCCACACUGGAACUGAGACACGGUCCAGACUCCUACGGGAGGCAGCAGUGGGGAAUUUUGGACAAUGGGGGCAACCCUGAUCCAGCCAUUCCGCGUGAGUGAAGAAGGCCUCGGUUGUAA
rnacentral:rRNA from 1 species